AUGGGAGCUCUUUCUUGUUUGUUUGCAGUCUCUGCCAUGGCUGACUUGUACUGGGGUGUGGAUACAGGCAGGGAUUUGAAACAAAUGGGGGGGGACCCUCUCCACCCUCACAGAGCCCCACAAUAUCACCCUUCUUUUGGAGGAGGUUCACUGUCACAUUCCUCUAACUUGCUCCGCCAGAGUAUGAGGCAUGUACGUACACUCAGAUGUCUCAGAACAGCUAUUUUUGAGAGAGAGGUCUGCUCAAUAAGCUUCUGUGGAAACUUUGGAUGCAUUGGUGCUUAUAGGACCAGGAGAAGAACAGGGUCCAGGAUGAAUGUGGACAUGUACUUAAGAGCUUUGCUGAAUUUGAUGUCAUAUCAUCUAUGGCCAAAUAAAAUACAACAGGGCCAAGGAAAGAAGGAUAAUGGAAAUGUCAGAAAUGUAAAGCUGGAAGGAACCUCAAGACAUCUUCAAGUUCCUACCUGAGGCAGCACAAUAUAUAUCCAGAUAUCUAGACUCCCUCAGGUGGUUAUCGCUGUCUUGUCAAAGAACCUGGACAGACAGGUGAUGGAAAAGUUUAAUGUGACUUGAAAAAAGCAAUGAAUUAAGCAAUGGGAUAAAGCUACUGAAAAAAAAAAAAAAAAAGAGAGAGAAGAUCCUUCAAGAUAUACCAUAGAAGGCAAGGAAAAGAAAAAUGUGUCCAAGGGGGAAGAAGAAUUUAAAACAAUGGAAAAUCAGGCAUCUGUGUUAAAUCAAAACUUGAAGAAACUGCACAUAAGGAAUUGAUUCUCUGUUGCUGCAAGAAGCUGUUCAGGAGAAACUAGGGUUUAGAAGGACAGCCAUCGCCCUUGCCCUCAGGGGAAUAUGCUAGGAGAGAGGCAGAAUGCAGAAUGUUUCCUAUAUACUUUAUCAGCAAUGCUGGUUGCUCUUAUUUAUUUUUGUCAAAUUGUUCUUUAUUUCAG
rnacentral:lncRNA from 1 species